rnacentral:rRNA from 1 species
ACGUACACUCCUGCGGGAGGCAGCAGUGGGGAAUAUCGCACAAUGGGCGCAAGCCUGAUGCAGCCAUGCCGCGUGUAUGAAGAAGGCCUUCGGGUUGUAAAGUACUUUCAGCGGGGAGGAAGGCGAUAAGGUUAAUAACCUUGUCGAUUGACGUUACCCGCAGAAGAAGCACCGGCUAACUCCGUGCCAGCAGCCGCGGUAAUACGGAGGGUGCAAGCGUUAAUCGGAAUUACUGGGCGUAAAGCGCACGCAGGCGGUCUGUCAAGUCGGAUGUGAAAUCCCCGGGCUCAACCUGGGAACUGCAUUCGAAACUGGCAGGCUAGAGUCUUGUAGAGGGGGGUAGAAUUCCAGGUGUAGCGGUGAAAUGCGUAGAGAUCUGGAGGAAUACCGGUGGCGAAGGCGGCCCCCUGGACAAAGACUGACGCUCAGGUGCGAAAGCGUGGGGAGCAAACAGGAUUAGAAACCCGAGUAGUCCCAUGA